rnacentral:tRNA from 1 species
GGCCGGUUAGCCCAGUCAGUAGGGCGUGGCGCUAACAAUACUAAGGUCACGGGUUCGAUUCCCGUUCAGUCCC